CCUACGGGUGGCAGCAGUAGGGAAUUUUCGGCAAUGGGGGAAACCCUGAUGGUGCGACGCCGCGUGGGGGAAUGAAGGUCUUCGGAUUGUAAACCCCUGUCAUGUGGGAGCAAAUUAAAAAGAUAGUACCACAAGAGGAAGAGACGGCUCACUCUGUGCCAGCAGCCGCGGUAAUACGGAGGUCUCAAGCGUUGUUCGGAAUCACUGGGCGUAAGGCGUGCGUCGGCUGUUUCGUAAGUCGUGUGUGAAAGGCGCGGGCUCAACCCGCGGACGGCACAUGAUACUGCGAGACUAGAGUAAUGGAGGGGGAACCGGAAUUCUCGGUGUAGCAGUGAAAUGCGUAGAGAUCGAGAGGAACACUCGUGGCGAAGGCGGGUUCCUGGACAUUAACUGACGCUGAGGCACGAAGGCCAGGGGAGCGAAAGGGAUUAGAUACCCCAGUAGUC
rnacentral:rRNA from 1 species